rnacentral:rRNA from 1 species
CUACCAAGACAGUGACGGUUGACGGGAAAUUAGGGUUUUAUACCGGAGAGGGAGCUUGAGAGAUAGCUCCCACGUCCAAGGACGGCAGCAGGCGCGAAAAUUGCCCACUCUUUGUAGGAGGCAGUUAUGAGACGUGAAAUAGAAUGUACCGUAAAAAAGUACAAGAGAAUUGGAGGGCAAGUUUGGUGCCAGCAGCCGCGGUAAUACCGACUCCAAGAGUGUGUAUGAGAGAUGCUGCAAUUAAAAAGUCCGUAGUGUUAAAGUUAUAAAUAGGAUAGAACUAUAUAUAUUGUAGAAGAACCGAUGGGGAACAUAGUAUAUUAUGGCGAGGGAUGAAAUAUCAAGACCCAUGAUGGACUAAGCGAGGCGAAGGCGAUGUUCUUGUAGGGAUUUGAUUAUCAAGGACGAAGGCAGGAGUAUCGAAAGUGAUUAGAUACCGCAGUAGUUCCAGCAGUAAAAGAUGCC